CCUACGGGGCGCUGCAGUAGGGAAUCUUUCACAAUGGGCGAAAGCCUGAUGGAGCAACGCCGCGUGCAGGAUGAAGGCCUUCGGGUUGUAAACUGCUUUUAUAAGCGAGAAAUAUGAUGGUAACUUAUGAAUAAGGCUCGGCUAACUACGUGCCAGCAGCCGCUGUCAUACGUAGGAUCCGAGCAUUAUCCGGAGUGACUGGGUGUAAAGAGUUGCGUAUAUGGCAUAAUAAGUAGCUAGUGAAAUCUGGUGGCUCAACCAUUCAGACUAUUAGCUAAACUGUUAAGCUCGAGACCGUUAGGGGUAACUGGAAGUUCUGGUGUAGGAGUGAAAUGCGUAGAUAUUAGAAGGAACACCAAUAGCGUAGGCAGGUUACUGGGACGGUUUUGACACUAAGGCACGAAAGCGUAGGGAGCAAACGGGAUUAGAUACCCGAGUAGUC
rnacentral:rRNA from 1 species